GAUGAACGCUGGCGGCGUGCCUAAUACAUGCAAGUCGAGCGAACAGACGAGGAGCUUGCUCCUCUGACGUUAGCGGCGGACGGGUGAGUAACACGUGGAUAACCUACCUAUAAGACUGGGAUAACUUCGGGAAACCGGAGCUAAUACCGGAUAAUAUAUUGAACCGCAUGGUUCAAUAGUGGAAGACGGUUUUGCUGUCACUUAUAGAUGGAUCCGCGCCGCAUUAGCUAGUUGGUAAGGUAACGGCUUACCAAGGCAACGAUGCGUAGCCGACCUGAGAGGGUGAUCGGCCACACUGGAACUGAGACACGGUCCAGACUCCUACGGGAGGCAGCAGUAGGGAAUCUUCCGCAAUGGGCGAAAGCCUGACGGAGCAACGCCGCGUGAGUGAUGAAGGUCUUCGGAUCGUAAAACUCUAUUAUUAGGGAAGAACAAAUGUGUAAGUAACUAUGCACGUCUUGACGGUACCUAAUCAGAAAGCCACGGCUAACUACGUG
rnacentral:rRNA from 1 species